UACGGGGGGAGCAAGCGUUGUUCGGAUUUACUGGGCGUAAAGGGCGCGUAGGCGGCCACUGCAAGUCAGUUGUGAAAUCUCCGGGCUUAACCCGGAAAGGUCAACUGAUACUGCAGGGCUAGAGUGCAGAAGGGGCAACUGGAAUUCUCGGUGUAGCGGUGAAAUGCGUAGAUAUCGAGAGGAACACCUGCGGCGAAGGCGGGUUGCUGGGCUGACACUGACGCUGAGGCGCGAAAGCCAAGGGAGCGAACGGG
rnacentral:rRNA from 1 species